ensembl:snRNA U2 U2 spliceosomal RNA
UUCACUUCUUAGCCUUUUGGCUAAGAUCAAGUGUAUUAUCAGUUAUUAUCAGUAAAAGAUUUUAUCACAAGAAAAUUGGCAACUAUGUGAGGUUAUGGAUAUUAACUAAA